GUGAGGAAUAUUGGUCAAUGGACGGAAGUCUGAACCAGCCAAGUAGCGUGCAGGAUGACGGCCCUAUGGGUUGUAAACUGCUUUUAUGCGGGGGUAAAGUGAGUGACGUGUCAUUCAUUGCAAGUACCGCAAGAAUAAGGACCGGCUAAUUCCGUGCCAGCAGCCGCGGUAAUACGGAAGGUCCUGGUGUUAUCCGGAUUUAUUGGGUUUAAAGGGAGCGUAGGCCGUCAGGCAAGCGUGUUGUGAAAUGUCGUGGCUCAACCAUGGACUUGCAGCGCGAACUGCCCGACUUGAGUGCGCGGAAAGCAGGCGGAAUUUGUGGUGUAGCGGUGAAAUGCUUAGAUAUCACGAAGAACCCCGAUUGCGAAGGCAGCCUGCUGUAGCGCUACUGACGCUGAAGCUCGAAAGUGCGGGUAUCGAACAGGAUUAGAUACCCCGGUAGUCC
rnacentral:rRNA from 1 species